rnacentral:rRNA from 1 species
GACGAACGCUGGCGGCGUGCCUAACACAUGCAAGUCGAACGGAACUUAGCAAAUGAAGUUUUCGGAUGGAUUUUGGUAAGUUUAGUGGCGGACGGGUGAGUAACGCGUGAGUAACCUGCCUUCAAGAGGGGAAUAACGUUCUGAAAAGAACGCUAAUACCGCAUAAUGCAACGGAAUCGCAUGACUCUGUUGCCAAAGAUUUAUCGCUCUGAGAUGGCCUCGCGUCUGAUUAGCUAGUUGGCGGGGUAACGGCCCACCAAGGCGACGAUCAGUAGCCGGACUGAGAGGUUGGCCGGCCACAUUGGGACUGAGACACGGCCCAG